AACUGAUACUACCUGCGGGAACCUGCGGAAGGAUCAUUACAGAGAACUUUGCCCCUAGGGGUAGAUCUCCCACCCUUUGUUUAUAAUUACCUUUGUUGCUUUGGUGGGCCCGUCUUUUGACCACCGGCUUAGGCUGGUCCGCGCCUGCCAGAGAACCCUAAACUCUUGUCUUUUGUGUUGUCUGAGUAAUAUUAUAUAAUAAGUUAAAACUUUCAACAAUGGAUCUCUAGAUCGGAAGAG
rnacentral:misc_RNA from 1 species